AACGAACGCUGGCGGCAUGCCUAACACAUGCAAGUCGAACGAGACCUUCGGGUCUAGUGGCGCACGGGUGCGUAACGCGUGGGAACCUGCCCUUAGGUUCGGGAUAACUCCCCGAAAGGGGUGCUAAUACCGGAUAAUGUCUUCGGACCAAAGAUUUAUCGCCUUUGGAUGGGCCCGCGUUGGAUUAGCUAGUUGGUAGGGUAAAAGCCUACCAAGGCGACGAUCCAUAGCUGGUCUGAGAGGAUGAUCAGCCACACUGGGACUGAGACACGGCCCAGACUCCUACGGGAAGCAGCAGUGGGGAAUAUUGGACAAUGGGCGAAAGCCUGAUCCAGCAAUGCCGCGUGAGUGAUGAAGGCCUUAGGGUUGUAAAGCUCUUUUACCCGGGAUGAUAAUGACAGUACCGGGAGAAUAAGCUCCGGCUAACUCCGUG
rnacentral:rRNA from 1 species